GUGAGCUGUCCUGCAGGUGACAUAAAUGCUUGGAGAUGGAUUUUUCAUUUUAAUGUAUGAUCAGCUAAGAUUAGUAUGGACUUAAGUUACAGGUAACUUCCCAAGAGGUUCCAUAAGCCUCCCCAAAUGUCCAAAACCACUCCAAGCAGUAGCAGAUUAAUCACUGAUCCAUUGAUUUGUGGAUCCAAGUCUUGGCUGUUGGGGCAUAAAGCCCAGCUGAACUUAGAUUCUUAGACUCUGUUGGGAGUGUGCCAGAGAGGAGUGGAACAGUCCCACAAGAGAUGGGAAUUUAGAUGAGGUUGAGGACUGGUUUUAAUUGUACUAUUGCCUCUUGUAUAUUUGAGUUAAUAUCAUGUUUUAUGUAUUGGGCAUGAUCUAUGGUAUAGAAUUAAAUUCAAACACCCAAAGCAACAAAUGGUAGGAGGGCAGAACAUGUGACAGACGACCUACUGCUGUAGCUGUGCUUACCAUGGAAAGCAAUGCAUAGUGACUGAUACCAGUAGUUCUGAGGGCAUGUCUACACUUACCCUCGGGAGUGAUCAAAUCCAGCGGGGGUCGAUUUUAUCACAUCUUCACUAGACAUGAUAAAAUCGAGCAUGCUCUUGUUGACUCUGGUACACCAUUGGAGCAAGAAGUGCAGGCGGAGUCGACCUACCGCAAUGAAGACAGCACGGUAAGUAGAUCUAAGUAUGUCGACUGUAGCUAUGUUUGUUCACGUAGCUGAAGUUGUGUAACUUAGAUUGAUUUCCUUCCCUCCCCACCCCAGUGUAGACCAGGCCUAAGACCCUUAUCUCCGGAAAGAAGAAAGAACCACCUCCUCAUGCUCCAGCAGUGGUGGGCAGACUGAUAAGCCACAGCUCCUCAAGCCACCCUCUGAGGCUUUUGCCCCAGGGCCUGACAUUGGACCAGGGUUCUUUCCUGAAGGGGAAAGAAUCUCACUUUAGUCAAAAUCUGUGUGUACCACUUUUUCUGGUUUUUACGUGGAGCAAAGAAGGACAUUGUUUCCUCCCUAUCCCUGAGUUAAUAUAUAUGUUAGUUUGAUUUCAGUCAUACCAUCAGCCUUAAGGCACACAAGCUUUCUCUAUCCAUUUAUUUAACUAAAAGUGAAGCAAGGUGUUCUCCAUUACCCCCGCCGAACGGCUUCAUGAUGUUAAAGGAUAUUGGUGUGUGAGAAUUAUAAGGGAAAAAUUGAAUCUUGUCUAUUAUUUUUUCCCACCAAAUGAGUAAUGGUGGGAUUGCUUGCCAAGUCAAGAGAUUCACAGUUGCUUCACUCCUGUCUGAGGCACUGAUUUCUAUAUCUGCAAGGAUUAUGAUCGGACAGCGUAUGAACACAGAAGCUAGUGCAUCACAGGGGCUUGCCACAUUUCUCUACUGCAGACAUGACUACCUCUAUGGUUCCCUCUUGAAUACCUCUAACUCACGUCAACACAUUCUGUUCUAUAUAGAGUCUCCUACCCCACAUGUCCAGUAAGAGUUGCAUCACAAAGAACAGCACCUCUUUAGCUGAUGUUCUCUGGGCUAGUUGGAUGGGGGGAGGGGGACAAUGGACACACAAACUUCAUCUGUAGCUCCUGCACUGUUUGGGGAAAAUCCAGUUUUUCUUAAAAUCCCUCUUUGGCACAGUAGUCACCAUGCACAUCUCUGAAACAGCAUCCACGGACACUACGAAUCCAGAUUGGUGCCCAACUGGGAGGUAGAUGUUUGGGUAGCUUCCAUAGCACAAUUGCUGCUGGCCUGUAAGGUGAAAGGGUACUUUUAUUAUGGCAGAGAUUUCUAUUGUCACACUUGUUCCUUCCUUCUCCCACCCACCUCUCUAAUUAGGGCAUAUUACAGGUUUGGUAACUGUUUCUGCUAAUGAAGUAAUCUUGAUGAUGUCACAUACUGAGGUGCCAUCCAGAACAGUGAGGGGUUGUCACUGCCUGCCUUGUAAUCCUGGGUGCUUAAUUUACUCUACUGCUGUAGUGCCCUUGUCUGGAUGCUCCCAAACAGCAUACAAUCCUGCACUGUGUUAAACAACUCUGACUCAGCAACUGUGAAUCCAGCAGCCUGGCAAGAUGAACCCAACCCCCCCAGUUCUGAAUUUUCCUCAAACCACAUGCUCUGCAAUAUGUAGUCCUCCCCUGGACCACUGGGAGAGAGGAGGAAAAAAAAUUGUUUUUAAAGAAACAGUAUCCAGCAGCUUUCCACAUUAACUGAAGUUAACAUUUACUUUAAAUCAAAGACAGCAAUGGUUGGUUUAGAUGAAAGAAAAACAAGUUUCCUAGGAUUUUAAGUGUGUUCAGGUAUAACGAAUGAACUUAGAAAUGGUUACGAGCAAAUAAAAGUGGAAAGUGCUUUCUAGAGAGU